ensembl:lncRNA
GGGCUGGCGGGGACAGCUGGCCCCCAGUCAGGGACACGAGACGGUGGCAAGAAAUGUCCCAGGCACGUACAGGCCUCUCUUCGGCCAGGGUGGCCUUGACCCUGGGAAAUGGCAGUGUGUCCUGGGCCCUGCACGUGGGGAAACCUCGCAAUGGCCCCAGGAGAGCCAGGAAUCUGGAUUUCCAGAAGAGGAAACAGACGUCCAGAGAGGCCGUGACUUGCCCGCUGUCACCCGACUAUAGGGAGCAUAUGACCAAAGCAGGAGUGGGAAUUCAGGGCAGGCUGACCCCAGAAGCCUGUGCCUGGAUGCACUUUCCUCCUGGGGAGUGAGGUGGGGGAAACUGAGGCUGGACGGAGCGGAGGAGAUUCCAACUCAAUGCCGGGGUGGGAGGCGGUGGUCGCCGCCCCGCUUGCAGUCCCCGUCCCUCCGGGAGGUUUCCGCUCUGGAGGGGACGCCCCGGGGACUCUGCCGGGAACCGGGGUUAUUUUUAGAGCGCGCGCUGCGCUGUCUCCUCUGCCGGAGGCCGAGCCCCGCGGGAUGGGGGCGGGAUGGGGGGCGGCGGGGGCAGGUGUCGGGGGAGGGGUCGCCACGUGUCCGGGUUAAUUAUAACCGGCCGGCUCGGGUGUCCCCGGCCUCGCCUCCUUACAAGGGCAGCCGCGGGCCCGGGAGGCGCCGGGCGCGCAGGGCAAGGGGGCUGGGUGGCGACUCGGGCGGAGCAGGAGCUACGGGCGCCUCGAGUGUGUGACCGAGUGUGUGACCAGGGGGGACCUCAAGGGCUGAAGAGGGGAUUCGGUGAAAGGGGGGCCUACAGGAAGCUGCUUCCUCCGCCUGGAAGGCGCCAAGAUUUCAGGACGAGCGAGCCCAGGGAGCCCCCAGUGUCAGAAGCCCUUUCUGUGUUUGGGGCGUUCCCACCUGAUGACAGCCUCCUUUGAAGAAGCCAACAAUGUCAAAAACUCCAUUUCCCAGGAUCCUUUGCAGCAACAGUCCAGUCAUGUGAUCAAGAAAUGGAAUCCUGGGGCCGGCCCCGCGGCCGAGUGGUUGAGUUCACAUACUCUGCUUCAAUGGCCCAGGGUUUCGCCAGUUCGGAUCCUGGGUGCGGACAUGGCACCGCUCAUCAAGCCAUGCUGAGGCGGCGUCCCACGUGCCACAACUAGAAGGACCCACAACUGAAAAUACAACUAUGUACUGGGGGGAUUGAGGGAGAAAGAGUAGAAAAAAUAUAUAAAUAAAUAAAGACAAUUUUUUAAAAAUGGAACCUUAAACCCGUCCAUCAGGAACCGCCUGAUCAGCCCUCCCUCGGUGUCUGCUUGGCAGACCCCUGAUGUCCCCUAUCAGGGAAAGUGACCUGAGUCACCAAGCUGCCUUUUGGCCUAACACACCCUCCUCAUUCCUGCUCCCUUCUUGUAAGUCCUUCAUUUUGUCCUGCUCCUCGAAGCUCCUUUCUAUCGGCUAGAUCAGACGCUGCCCGAUUCAAAUCGAUUUUUGCUCAAAUAAAUUCUUAAAAUGUUUACCGUGCCUCAGUUUAUCUUUUAACAAUAUGUGGACAUCGUAUGGUGUGGGCCAUGCAGGGGAGGUCUUUCUCAUGCCGAGGCCAGGUCACAAAAGGAAAUGUUCAAGAUCGAAGCUCAGAACUGGCACGGCGUCCCUGGUGCCCCUCGGCCAUUGGCCAAAGCAAGUCGCAUGACCACACCCAGUGUCAAGGCCGCCGUCCCCUCUCCCUCCGUGGGUAAAGAUUUUUCUCAUUUCCGUUUUUCUUAAAUGGGCACCACGCUCACACAGCCACACACGAUUCAUGCCCUUGGGAUGCCUCUGGAAGGAUAUCAGAAAUGGGUCACGGGGGCCGGCCCGGUGGCGCAGCGGUUAAGUGCGCAUGUUCUUCUUCUUGGUGGCCCGGGGUUCACCGGUUCGGAUCCCGGCUGCGGACAUGGCACCGCUUGGCAAGCCAUGCUGUGAUAGGCGUCCCACGUAUAAAGUAGAGGAAGAUGGGCAUGGAUGUUAGCUCAGGGCCAGUCUUCCUCAGCAAAUAGAGGAGGAUUGGCAGGAGAUGUUAGCUCAGGGCUGAUCUUCCUCAAAAGAAAAAGAAAGAAAGGGGUCAUCAUGUUUGCUGGUGGGAGUGAUGUCUAGGGACCAAGGAGAGACUAGUCUUCUGUUCUCUGUGACAUUCUUUCUGACAGUGCAUUACUCUGUAAAUUAAACAAAGGCGGGGGGAGCUUUUUAAAAACUGGCCAAGAGGUGAAAAUCAAAAAGGCCCCAACCCAUCCGCCCGUUUUCCUGACACGGCAAACUGAGGUCCUCAGUGAGAGGACAGGAGUUUUGUUGAGUGCCUUCUUGGCUGUGGUCUGGGGCAAGGGAUUCCUCCUCUCGAGCCUCAGUUUCCCCAUCUUUAGUUGGGGCUAGCAAUAGUGCCUACCUC